CCCUUAGAUGUUCUGGGCCGCACGCGUGCUACACUGAGUGGAUCAGCGGGUCAGGUUGCGCGAAAGCGUUUCCCUAAUCUUUAAAUCCGCUCGUGAUGGGGAUUGACGGUUGCAAUUUUCUGUCAUGAACGAGGAAUACCUUGUAAGCGCGGGUCAUCAUCCCGCGCUGAAUACGUCCCUGCCCUUUGUACACACCGCCCGUCGCUCCUACCGAUUGAGUGGUCCGGUGAGGCUUUGGGAUCUGAGCGGAAAGAGCGUUUCGCUGUUUCUGCUCGGAAAACUCAGUCGAACCUUAUCAUUUAGAGGAAGGAGAAGUCGUAACA
rnacentral:rRNA from 1 species